rnacentral:rRNA from 1 species
UACAGAGGGGGCAAGCGUUAUUCGGAAUUAUUGGGCGUAAAGGGCGCGUAGGCGGCUUUGCAAGCGACGGGUGAAAUCCCUCGGCUUAACCGAGGAACUGCCUGUCGAACUGCAUGGCUCGAGACCAGGAGAGGUGAGUGGAAUUCCCAGUGUAGCGGUGAAAUGCGUAGAUAUUGGGAGGAACACCAGUGGCGAAGGCGGCUCACUGGACUGGUACUGACGCUGAGGCGCGAAAGCGUGGGGAGCAAACAGGAUUAGAAACCCCCGUAGUCC